AAAUUGAACAAUAUGCGGACAAUGAUCCAGCUGCCUUUGAAGCAAUGAACUGCUUCUUUUAGUUGUUUGACAGCAGCUUUCACUAUCUCACCAUCCUCAACGCAAGUUAAAGAAGUGCUUCUUAAAGAGAUGAAUGAAGGUUUUAUUGAGGCUGAAAAGAAGCCAGGUGUUCUUCUUACUUUGUUUCAUUACUUGGAAAAAGUAAACAAUCACACAGUAUGCUUAGAGGCUCUCCAGGUAACCUAUUUGUUAGUUUGGAAAUACCAUGCUUUAUGGUUGUCAGAAAUUAUUCUCUUGUCAAGAAUCUAGGCAUUGCUUGAAUUACUCUGUAUUUGGAAUCUUGGAUUUACUAUUUGUAUGCCUGUGUGGAUGUAUCAGGUUUUCAAUGGUGGAAUUAGCUAUUUUUUGCUAUAGAUAUUAUAUAAUUCUUCAUGUAAAACUUCUUUGUGCACGUUUUAACUUUUUUCUUUUUUUGUAUUUUUUUCGUUAAAUAUUAUUAUUAUUACUUUUAUUAUAAAAAUUUCUCCCUCAGCAUGACAUUGUUUCUGCUGAUCAAUUUGUUUUUCUUCUAUACUAUUUAGUGAGCUUCCUUGCAAAUCUUGGUGGCUUGUAUUGCAUCAGUAUUGGCAUUUUUUUUCUUCUUACUAGUUCAAUGUGAAUGUAGAAUAAAAAAGCUUCGCCAUGAAGAUAGCACAUUAAGAAUGAUUAGAAAUCGGCAAAAAACACUACAACGCUAGGAAAAGGUAACACUUUCUUGAGGAUGAAAUUUUAUGUAUCUAUUUAUUUUGUGGUGUGGUUUUAAUCCAAUUAAACUUACUCAUAUGUUUGUUUUGAUUA